CGUUCCACUGCAGGACUUCUAUGUUACACUGACAUCGCCAUGGACUCUCUCUCUAACGACUGACAGAUGUCAAUCAGGCAGACGCUCAACCGGAUCAGCAGAAGUAAGAUCAUAAUAUCUUUCUCAGGUCAAUAAGUUCAUCAGCGAACUAGUGUUUAACAUUCAGAUAGGACUCUCGACAUGGAGUUGAGAAUGUGAUUGAACACCAAAGCCUUAAAAAAAAAAAGAGUCUUUCAGUGUGAACUGAGGAAUACAGAACAAGUUAUUUCAAGGCAUUUCUGAACGUUUAUAAGCUGCCUCAAUGGUCCUGGCUUUAGGUAGUAUGACACUACUUGUCCAACCGCUCAUUUGAAAAAGCAUUUUAGGGCCCCGAUUCAAAUCAGCCGUGUCAGGAGGUUCUGCGUUAGAGCUAUCUAAUCCACAAGCGGUUCCAGGUCUAAUCCACAAGCGGUUCCAGGUCAAAUCCACAAGCGGUUCCAGGUCAAAUCCACAAGCGGUUCCAGGUCAAAUCCACAAGCGGUUCCAGGUCAAAUCCACAAGCGGUUCCAGGUCAAAUCCACAAGCGGUUCCAGGUAUACCGGACAUUGCCAGUGGCUGCAUGAAGUCACAUUAAGAGAAAUAUCAUGCAGCCUUGUUUACAAUUUCGGAUGACAACCGGCAUUUUCUUUCGGAUGUCGAGAAAGGAAUCAGGAAAAAAUAUAUAAUUUCCUGGUGUGAUACAAGGGACGAUAUUUUGGCGUUUCGUAAUAUUUAAUCAUUCCAGAAUGUUCCCCUCUAUCUGGACUCCUAGAUGAGGCUUCAUUCGUCUUCAUGGAAACAAGUGUUAGAAUCGGUU
rnacentral:lncRNA from 1 species